UGAGAAAUUCAUAGAACUACCUGGCAGAAAAGGAAGGGUGAUAUUGCCUCCCAGGGAACAUUUGGCAACGUCUGAAGAUAUUUUUCACUGUCACAACCGAGGGGGUAUGCUAUUGGCAUCCAGUAGGUAGAGGUCAAGGAUGCUGAUAAGCAUCUACAAUGUCCCAAACAGUCCCUACAACAAAAAAUUAUCUGGCCCCAAAUAUGAAUAGUGCCAAGGUUGGGAAACCCUUCUUCAUACCUAUUCACAAUCCAUGGAACACUUUAUGUACUGCUGUCUUAGUCCCUAAUCAGAAAUUAUCAGGUAAAAUGCUCACUAGAAUUAAUCCUACUUCCAGAAGAGUUCUCAAAAGAGAAACCUAUAUACUCAACUCUGAUGCUCAAGUCUGACCAAUCCCUAGAUACUGCUGACCUAUUCAUAUAUUCAUAUUCUAUCACUGAUAUGGGAAGCUCUGUUUGAAACAUAAACUUAAAAAGGAAUCUCUAUAUAUGAACUAUCAGUGCUAUCAGACAAUGCUAACAUUAUGAACAUGAUGAGGAUAUAACCCUUGUUUUCUUAGAAAUGCCCACCCACAUUUAUGCUGUUUUUAGUUUAUUACUCUUGUCAAAGUUGCCAUGCAGAAUGUCUGUUGGUCAGUUGGGCACAUCUGCACACAUUUACAAUAUCUGCCACCUCUUUUAACCCUCAACCCCGCCCCACAAAAUGAGUGAUGGUGCUUGUUGAUUUGCAGAUUCACAGUCUGGUGAGACAAGUUUGAGAUCUCAUAUUUUCAGCUCAUCCUUGAAAACCUUUCUUCGAUUUGACUGACCUUGAUGGCUCCCUGGAAUCUCACCUACAUUUUAUGGGAAAUUCAACUCUCCAGAGAGAAGAGCUUUCAGAUAGCUGCGGGACUUGCAACUGUGACUUUCAGCUUUCGCUUUUGAAUGAGGCUCCAAAUGUCUCAAUGGUGGCACUAUUUCCAGAUUUGGGAGCCCUGCAAAGCUAAUCUGCUCAACCUUCACCUACUGGGUUCAAUGAAUAUGAAAAGCUGCCUUCCUGAAACUUUUCCUUCAAAGAGGGAAUGAUCUCCUGGAAUUCAAGCUUCUACAAGGUGGCUACCUGGUGUUUUCCACUUUUGCCGUCUCCUAAAAAGCAUCAUUCAAGCCUUGCCCUUUCAACCCACUGAACACAUAAACAUGCUUUCUCCUUAACUGAACUUAUGGCCACGAUGAACUUGAACUCUGAGAUUCACAGAGGAGAGUUUGUUUUAACAGCUGCUUUUACAAUGAAGCCCUGGAGUUACUACUCUCAAGACCCCUGGUUCUGAUAGGCCAUCUUUUCACUGUCCUCUGCAUUUUCUAAUGCCCAGCUGUCAAGGAACACCCACUGAAGUUUUCCAAAACAAAGGCACGAAACACAAGAAAGGCAAGAGAAUGCUAAUCACCAGAUGCAUGGGCAUCCUAUGGGGGAACCCCUUACAUGUGGAAUACGGUUUUUCUCCCCAAUUUAUUUUUAUAAAUUUAUUGAUUUCUUUGCUAGUUUGUUAUUAAUUGUUAGAGAUGUCCUGUUGCCUGAGGUUGCCCUGUCCGAUAUGGUAGCCACCAGCGACAGGUAGCUAUUUAGAGUA
rnacentral:lncRNA from 10 species